ACUUUGUAAAUCAAACAUUGAUUCAUUAAAUCGAUUCUCUUCACUAGAAUCAACACUAAUACAAAAAAAAUAAGAAACUAAGAAGAAGAAAUAGCACCAAGCUUAUCUCCGGCUCAUCACUAUCGCAGUCUGGUAUUUUCUUCCCCUCUCCCAUCCUCCUUAUACUAUCCCGAGAUACCAAUUCCUAUACUACAGAUGAUAAUUACUUUUCCUCACUAUUCAUCCAUUCUACCUGUUGAACCAUCUUUUCAGUAGUUAUCUAUCCCUGUUUAUAUUAUGUACUAGAUAUCUACAUUCUGAAAAUAACUACUUAUUCUACAUAGCCCCACUCCUAACUGUGUAGUAUCCUC
rnacentral:lncRNA from 1 species